rnacentral:rRNA from 1 species
AUGGGGAGUUUGCACAAGGCCACCUUUGUUCUCCUUAUGCUCUGCAUGUCAGCAUUGGGGAGAGCAGAAUAUCUCAAGUACAAGGACCCGAAGCAGCCCGUUGGCGCCCGCGUCAAGGAUCUGCUCGGCCGGAUGACCCUCACGGAGAAGAUAGGCCAGAUGACGCAGAUCGAGAGGAUAAACGCCACUGCGGAGGUGAUAUCAAAAUACUUCAUAGGUAGCGUCCUGAGUAGCGGCGGUAGCCCGCCUUUUCCCCGAGCGUCUGCUAAGGAUUGGGCUUCAAUGGUGGAUGAAAUGCAAAAGGCCGCCCUCUCCACCCGCCUAGGCAUUCCUAUGAUCUACGGCAUUGACGCUGUGCAUGGUCACAAUAACGUCUACAAAGCUACCAUCUUCCCUCAUAACGUUGGUCUCGGAGCUACUAGGGACCCUAUGCUGGUCAAGAGGAUAGGAGAAGCAACUGCUCUUGAAGUUAGAGCUACCGGGAUUCCAUACGUCUUUGCUCCAUGUAUCGCGGUUUGUAGAGACCCAAGAUGGGGACGCUGCUAUGAAAGCUAUAGUGAAGACCCAUAUGUUGUCCGGUCAAUGACCACAAUCAUCUCUGGCUUGCAAGGUGAUGUUCCCUCAGGUUCCGAGGGAAGACCAUAUGUUGGUGGAAGUAAGAAAGUUGCCGCAUGCGCAAAGCACUAUGUUGGUGAUGGUGGCACGUUUAUGGGGAUCAACGAGGGCAAUACAAUCAUCGACAACCAUGGGAUGAUGACUAUCCAUAUGCCUGCUUACUACAAUUCUAUCAUCAGGGGCGUAUCCACUAUUAUGGUCUCGUUCAAUAGUUGGAAUGGAACAAAAAUGCACGCCAACCAUUACCUAAUCACAGAUUUUCUCAAGAACAAGCUCAAAUUUCGGGGUUUAGUGAUUUCAGACUGGCAAGGCAUUGAUAAGAUUACUACUCCCCCACACCUGAACUAUUCCUAUUCAAUUGAGGCCGGAGUUGGUGCUGGUAUUGACAUGAUCAUGGUUCCUUUUGCCUACACAGAAUUCAUUGAUGGUUUGACAUCCCAAGUUGAGAAAAACAUUAUCCCCAUGAGCAGAAUCGAUGAUGCUGUCUACAGGAUUCUUCGGGUCAAGUUUACCAUGGGUCUAUUUGAGAACCCUUAUGCUGAUCGAAGCCUUGCUGGUGAACUCGGGAAGCAAGAACACCGAGAACUCGCUAGGGAAGCCGUCAGGAAAUCACUGGUGUUGCUGAAAAAUGGAAAAUCCGCCUCCACUCCAUUGUUGCCUCUCCCAAAGAAGGCCGGUAAGAUCCUCGUCGCCGGGAGCCAUGCUGACAACUUGGGCAACCAAUGUGGAGGAUGGACAAUCGAAUGGCAAGGAGAUACCAGCAAUGACAAAACUGUUGGGACGACGAUCCUUUCGGCGAUCAAGUCCACCGUGGACCCCAACACGCAGGUAGUCUUCUCAGAGAACCCGGACAGCGCCGCAGUGGGGAGCAGCAAGUACGACUACGCUAUCGUGGUGGUGGGUGAGCCACCCUAUGCCGAGUCGUUUGGCGACAACUUGAACUUGACGAUCCCCACCCCCGGCCCUGUGGUGAUCCAGACUAUCUGCAAGAGGAUCAAGUGUGUUGUGGUGCUCAUCUCCGGCAGGCCGCUAGUGGUGGAGCCGUAUGUUAGUGCCAUGGACGCAUUGGUCGCCGCCUGGCUGCCCGGCACGGAGGGCCAGGGUGUCACCGAUGUGCUCUUCGGCAAUUAUGGGUUCUCCGGGAAGCUGGCGAGGACGUGGUUCAAGUCGGUGGACCAGCUGCCGAUGAACGUCGGGGACAAGCACUAUGACCCAUUGUUCCCGUUUGGGUUUGGCCUCACCACGGAGGCGAAAAAUUGA